rnacentral:rRNA from 1 species
GCCGUAAGCCCAAGGGUUCCUGGGGAAGGGAAAUCCGCCCAGGGUUAGCCGGGACCUAAGGCAAGGCCGAAAGGCGUAGUCGAUGGAAAGCAGGUUAAUAUUCCUGCGCUCGUUGGCCAACGGAUCAUAGAGUUCUUCUGCCUUACCAGAUUGGCAGGCCUUCGGGCCGUUGAAGGACAAAGUGGUUCCAAGAAAAAACCAACAUAGACCCGUACCAAAACUGACACAGGU